UUUGAGCCUGAUAUUGGUUCUCCCCUCCUUAUUGGAAAGUUUCCUAUAAGUCGAGUUGGUGGUGAAGAUGUGUUAUUUCCUUCCCCAACGGAGCAAUGGUUCUCUCUCUCCUUAGCAGAGAUGUCUCUCCAGUAGAUGAGAAAAUGUGUUUUUGAUUGUUGAAACUUCUAUUUGGCGGUUGUUCCCCACAGAGUUUCAUAUCAUUCCCCGAUAAGUUCCCCAGUAGAGUUUCU
rnacentral:lncRNA from 1 species